rnacentral:rRNA from 1 species
GGACUACCGGGGUAUCUAAUCCCGUUUGCUCCCCUAGCUUUCGCGCCUCAGCGUCAGAAGAGGUCCAGUACGUCGCUUUCGCCACCGGCGUUCCUGAUGAUAUCAACGCAUUUCACCGCUCCACCAUCAGUUCCACAUACCCCUACCUCCCUCGAUCUCGCCAGUAUCAAAGGCACUUCUCCAGUUGAGCUGGAGGAUUUCACCCCUGACUUGGCAAGCCGCCUACGCGCCCUUUAAGCCCAGUGAUUCCGAACAACGUUCGCACGGUUCGUCUUACCGCGGCUGCUGGCAC